rnacentral:lncRNA from 1 species
AGAUAUGGAGAACCAGACGAGAGGUAUGAUGGUUUUGUUUUUGGUGGUAAUGACUGCCAUUGGAGGAGAAGCAGCGUCGACUUCAUGUGAACAGAUGUGUUUUAUACGCUGCCACCAGUUCCCCGGCUUACUGAACUGCUUGCAAAUCUGUGUUGACAAGCUAUGCAAGCAUCAUCCACCCACAAGUAGUAUCUUUCCAUCUACAUCGCAUUCGCAGUAACUCUUUCUUUCUCUCUUUCUCUCUCUUUUGCAAGUAAUAUGCAUGUAUUGUAUUUACUUGUGUGUAGUAUGGUGAGUUGAUAUGGUUUAUGUGGUGUUAACGUAGGAUGAAAGACUAAAGGGAUGGAAGAAAUGCAUGCAUAGAGAUAGUUUCUCUAUUGUUUCGUGCUUGAUUUAUUUUUACUUUUACUUUUAUAUGUAAAAUAAAAUAUAUAAUAAAUAUCUUGAAACCUUUUGUGAUAUUUCUGAUUCACUCUAUUGCGUUAGGAACAUUAUUACUUUUUUACAUAUCCAUCCGUUCAACAACAAACAAUAUAGAGUGAGUGGGCUUUGCUUACCAAAAGCAAGAGUUUGUAUGG